UACGAAGGGGGCUAGCGUUGUUCGGAAUCACUGGGCGUAAAGAGCGCGUAGGCGGCCAUGUAAGUCAGAGGUGAAAUCCCGGGGCUCAACCCUGGAACUGCCUUUGAAACUAUAUGGCUAGAGUCCGUGAGAGGGUGGUGGAAUUCCUAGUGUAGAGGUGAAAUUCGUAGAUGUUAGGAGGAACACCAGUGGCGAAGGCGGCCACCUGGCACGGUACUGACGCUGAGGCGCGAAAGCGUGGGGAGCAAACAGG
rnacentral:misc_RNA from 1 species